rnacentral:lncRNA from 1 species
GGAAAGGACUCCUGUUUACCGUGGGAAAGCUGAGCGCAGAAGGCAGAGGUCCCUUGGUCAGAUCUCAGCUGGGCUCAAGGUUGUGAAGUGGGCAAGUUUAUGAGAACACAGGUGAAUAACAACUCGCACGGUUUACUGUUCACCUCCAAACUUUAGGAUCUGGAGACCAUGUGCAGAUUCACUUGUAGUAGACGUUUACGUUUUGGGGAAGUAAAUAGGGACAUGGACUGGCAUAAAGUCAUGGCUUGAGCUCAACUGGAGCUCAUUCUUGGGCAUUUAUCCACCUAAGAAACAGCAUUCUGUCCUCUUCAAAGUAAAUUGAACACCAGCUGCUUUAGCAAACAACCCCAAGAUUUCAGGGACUGACUGACCCGUAUGUUAUAGGGUGUGUUUCUUGUUCACAUCAGAGUUUUAUGCAGUCUGGGUGAGAGUUGUGCUGGGACUUAGGAUACUUCCACCUGUUGGUUCAGCCAUCCCAAAGGCCGUGGAAUCCUCCUGGGUUUGCUCUAUCCUUCAGGUUGACCAGCAGAGGAGAGAAAAGGUCCUGUGGAUGUUUCAGGGGCCAGGACUUGAAAUAAUACAUGCUACUUUCAUCUAUACUUUGCUGACUAGAACUCAGUCUCUUUGCCCCACUUAGAGGCCAGGGUUCUGAGAAACACAGGAGUGACACAAACCUCCGUGUAUGAGUUUCGUAUUGCUGCUGUAACAAAUUGCAGUAACUACAGAGGCUCAAAACAACAAAUGUAUUCUCUAGCAGUUCUGGAGGUCAGAAUUUCACUCAGUCUAAUGGGUCUAAAUUAUAAUGGA